rnacentral:lncRNA from 1 species
AAAUCUUUUCUUUUAGUUAUAUCUUAUUAAAUUUUCUUUAAUAAAUUUUAUUUCUUAUAUUAUUUUAGUGAGUUCGGCUACUAUACUAUCGAUAGUACCAAGCCCUUGGUACUAUUGAGUUUUCUAUCCUUUGAUCAUUUCCACCCGUUAGAUUACACUGUUAAACCAACCACCCACUCAACCCUAGGGGUUUGUUAUCAAUUUAACCGGGAACUACUAUCAUCCUAACCACACAUCUUUUUAUCCAACGGCCGAAAACUCAAUAGUACUAAAGACUUGGUACUAUUGAUAGUAUAGUAGCAUAAUUCUUAUUUAGUAGCCUAAUUUUGUGAAUAUGUAUUGCAUUUAUCAAAUAUUAUUUUUUCAUUCUUUUCUUUUCUCUAUAAUAUUAAUGAGAUUAUACAAAAUUUUCUAAAAUAUAUAUAGCCAAUAAAUUCAUAUUUUAUUUUCGGAUACUCAUAUUUUUGGCCAAUUUGCAUAAAAAAAUCCACAAGUUUUGAGCUUUUGUAAAACUGGGCCGCCUUUUACGAUUUUGCAGAUUCGGUCCGAAUUUUCAACAAAUUAACCAAAAUACUCUUAUACCUUUUUCUUUCUCUUUUUCUUUUCUCAUGUUCUUCUUUUUUUUUCUUGCCGAAGAAGUCGGUAG